rnacentral:rRNA from 1 species
AGAGCGAACGCUGGCGGCAGGCUUAACACAUGCAAGUCGAGCGGGCGUAGCAAUACGUCAGCGGCAGACGGGUGAGUAACGCGUGGGAACGUACCUUUUGGUUCGGAACAACACAGGGAAACUUGUGCUAAUACCGGAUAAGCCCUUACGGGGAAAGAUUUAUCGCCAAAAGAUCGGCCCGCGUCUGAUUAGCUAGUUGGUGAGGUAAAGGCUCACCAAGGCGACGAUCAGUAGCUGGUCUGAGAGGAUGAUCAGCCACAUUGGGACUGAGACACGGCCCAAACUCCUACGGGAGGCAGCAGUGGGGAAUAUUGGACAAUGGGCGAAAGCCUGAUCCAGCCAUGCCGCGUGAGUGAUGAAGGCCCUAGGGUUGUAAAGCUCUUUUGUGCGGGAAGAUAAUGACGGUACCGCAAGAAUAAGCCCGGCUAACUUCGUGCCAGCAGCCGC